CAAAACAUGUUUAGACCUCUGAUUUUAAUGGCAUGAAAUGACAAUUCCAGUGGCUACUCAUCCAUCACUGCUCCCCAUGCUCAAACAAGGCAUAUGAAAUGCUUAAAUCAACCCCAGAGACCAUUUGCUCUGUUGUUCUGUUUAUCUCACCUGUACUCUAAGACAAGGGCUGCAUUCCACAAUGAGCUGAGGCGUCAGGGGUAAAUUCACCUCAAGGAGGUUUGCUGUUCUCAAAAGUGAAGAUAGAGCUGAUCCAAGCUGAUAAAGAUCUCAGCUGGGCACUGAUGAGGCUGGAGCCCUGGUAUCUCUGAGGGGACACCUGCAGCAUGUGAGGUGCAGAAGCUAAGCAGGCUGAUCUAAGAGAACGGAAUUAAGGUGGCCUGCAAAAAAUCUGAUAAACAGCAUUCAAACAGAACAAACCAGG